UACGAAGGGGGCAAGCGUUGUUCGGAAUUACUGCGCGUAAAGGGCGCGCAGGCGGCCGAUCAAGUCAGAUGUGAAAGCCCCGGGCUCAACCUGGGAAUAGCAUUUGGGACUGGUCGGCUAGAGUUCGGGAGAGGAGAGUGGAAUUCCCAGUGUAGAGGUGAAAUUCGUAGAUAUUGGGAAGAACACCGGUGGCGAAGGCGGCUCUCUGGACCGACACUGACGCUGAGGCGCGAAAGCGUGGGGAGCAAACAGG
rnacentral:rRNA from 1 species